rnacentral:rRNA from 1 species
AACGUAGGACGCGAGCGCUAUCCGGAUUUACUGGGCGUAAAGAGCGUUGAGGCGGUCUCGUAAGUUGGGCGUCAAAGCCCCGGGCUUAACCCGGGAAAGCCGUCCAAUACUGCGAGACUUGAGGGCAGCAGAGGGAGGUGGAAUUCCCGGUGUAGCGGUGAAAUGCGUAGCUAUCGGGAGGAACACCAGUGUCGAAGGCGGCCUCCUGGGCUGUCCCUGACGCUGAUGGCGAAAGCCAGGGGAGCGAACGGU